AAAGUUCCAGAGACGAUAUGGAAUUAUAUUUGACCUGAAAUGUUCCCUUCCUGGAGCUCCGGAUGCUGCAAUUAAGAGGUUCCAUGUGACACUGCCUUCCGAAUUGCAGUUGAUUUCCUUGGCUGGAAACAAGGAUGAAAGGAGAUGCUCAUAUCUAGCUGCCUCAAUUCCCCGCCAGACCU
rnacentral:lncRNA from 1 species